rnacentral:lncRNA from 1 species
AUGUGACCAGUACGUUCUCGUGUAAACAUAAGAGUAAGAGACAUCCUUUGUGCUUUAAUUACCUUGGCCUCCAUGGCUGCAUGAGGAAAAUACCUUGACGAUAGGUACUACUCUAUCUCGGCACUGAUCGUGCUGUAUGCUCAAAGGGAAGCACGCCUAGCGCUAGUCAACGCCUCGAUUUGACGUCGUGAGCGUGUUGACUAACUGGCCAAACAAAUCCACUCACGCGUUUAUUUCCAGGGAAUCAGACCUUGACGAAAAAAAGAUCUGGACGGUAAUCAGGUCAAGUCUCUUCCUGGUAGUCACAAUCGCGUUCGCGGAUCUUUAAGGACGAUUGCUGAAAGGACAAGAGGCCCUGAUUGCAUCACUGGGCAUAACUUUGACACUUCUUGACGUUUGUGAUGGACCAUCCGUUUUACAUGCAGGAGGAGGCAAUGGAUUGUUUUAUAUAAAGACAUCAAGAAUGCUAUAUAUAAAACAAAGACAAGUAUAAAAGUUGGACAACAAGACAUAAAUCAACCUCUAAAAAGUAAUAGUAAAUUAAAGACUAAAUUGGUUGUUAUCUUUCUUUGAUCGAUCCUUCAUUGCUUGUUGGAGCUUCAAGAUCACACUGAAAAGACAACAAAGAAAAAAGACACUUGCAAAACACCCUCGCUAGAUAAGACUUUGAAGAUUACAAAAAUUGCUCGCCUCUGUCAGUGAGACCUAGUACCCACUGAAAGAGUAUCCAUUGGAGGAACGCUUCAAGAAACACAAGUUUAUAAUCCUUGAGCAUCAGAAUAGUGUUGAAGAUUUCAAGCCUUAAUAUAAAGCGAUCAAAAGAAGAGGUCGGGAUUGCCGCAUUGAAAGCCAAUCAACUCCUUUCACUAAUAACACACCAAAUGGCAAGAUCUGAAGAUGCACCAAACUCUCACAACCGUUCGCCAAUGCCAAAUCGAAUUUUGUCAAGGUAGGGAGAGACUAGAGAGACCUUAUUCUAAAGCACAAUCAUUGCCACCACCUCAUCGAUGAUACUAGAAACCAUAACCCUAAAUCAAUGAGGAUCAAAAAAACUACAAAAAAAAUAAAGAAAAAGAGAUUGGGUCCCUGCUUCUCUAUCCGCUAGCGAGAUCACCAGUUAAGAGAGAGGAGAAGGACCGAGACGAUAUAGCGGGGAGGCCGGUGGUGGCGGCGGUGGCUGGGAGGCUCUUGUGGUGUUUUGGCUGUGGGGCAAUGGAUUCUAAUUCUAUUUUCUCCGUCCAAUUGAGUUACGCGGCUAAUAACAUGUGUUCGCAGUUUUUCAGUUCAAACUUGAUGCACUCUAGCGUGGGUACGUCUCAUAUGUUUCACUCUCCUCAGAUCAGUGGCUUUGUCAACGUUUCUUUAUCAUGAGAGGCCACUAUCAGCAAUGUGCAAGCUAUAUAUAUAUAUAUAUCCUAAUAGCUUUGCCGCUCGAUUGGACUCAAAAUACGGGGUUCAAGGUCAUUGCAAAUACAUUGUACACUCAUUUGCCCCUAUACAUCCCAUCAUAGGUACUGAAUGAUGUCGUAUUUGUAAACUUAUAUGGCUAUUUGAGAGCUAACAUCAAUAAAAUCAAUCAGGUAGG